CCCCUAGAUGUUCUGGGCCGCACGCGCGCUACACUGAACAGUUCAACAAGUCUUAACCUUGGCCGACAGGCCCGGGCAAUCUUUGAACGCUGGUCGUGAUGGGGAUAGACUUUUGCAAUUUUUGGUCUUCAACGAGGAAUUCCUAGUAAACGCAAGUCAUCAACUUGCAUUGAUUACGUCCCUGCCCUUUGUACACACCGCCCGUCGCACCUACCGAUUGAAUGGUCCGGUGAAGCCUCCGGAUUGGCGCGCACCCCGGUGCCGCCGAGAAGUUGGCUAAACCUUACCAUUUAGAGGAAGGUGAAGUCGUAACA
rnacentral:rRNA from 1 species